rnacentral:rRNA from 1 species
UGCUAGUCGCACGGGUUUAGACCCGUGGCAUAUAGCUCAGUAACACGUGGCCAAACUACCCUGUGGACGGAGAUACCCUCGGGAAACUGAGGUUAAUCUCCGAUACGACUCGCCAGCUGGAAUGCGGCGAGCCGGAAACGUUCCGGCGCCACAGGAUGUGGCUGCGGCCGAUUAGGUAGACGGUGAGGUAACGGCUCACCGUGCCAAUAAUCGGUACGGGUCAUGAGAGUGAGAACCCGGAGACGGUAUCUGAGACAAGAUGCCGGGCCCUACGGGGCGCAGCAGGCGCGAAACCUUUACACUGCACGACAGUGCGAUAGGGGGACUCCGAGUGCGAGGGCAUAUAGUCCUCGCUUUUCUGUACCCUAAGGUGGUACAAGAAUAAGGGCUGGGCAAGACCGGUGCCAGCCGCCGCGGUAAUACCGGCAGCCCGAGUGAUGGCCGUUAUUAUUGGGCCUAAAGCGUCCGUAGCUGGCCGCGCAAGUCCGUCGGGAAAUCCACCUGCCCAACAGGUGGGCGUCCGGCGGAAACUGUGUGGCUUGGAACCGGAAGGCUCAGAGGGUACGUCCGGGGUAGGAGUGAAAUCCCGUAAUCCCGGACGGACCACCAAUGGCGAAAGCACUCUGAGAAGACGGCUUCGACAGUGAGGGACGAAAGCUAGGGUCUCAAACCGGAUUAGAUACCCGGGUAGUCCUAGCUGUAAACGAUGCUCG